rnacentral:tRNA from 2 species
GACGAUGUAGUUCAGUCGGUAGAACGGCGGUCUGUUAAAUCGUAUGUCGCAGGUUCAAGUCCUGUCAUCGUCGCCA